rnacentral:lncRNA from 1 species
ACAGGUGCCCGCCACCACACCUGGCUAAUUUUUUUAUUUUUAGUAGCGAUGGGGUUUCGCCAUGUUGGCCAAGCUGGUCUCGAACUCCUGACCUCAGAUGAUCCACCCACCUCGGUAUCCCAAAGUGCUGGGAUUACAGGCGUGAGCCACGGCACCUGGCCAACAAUUCAUAAGUUUUAAGUUUCACACUGUUGUGAAUAGCGUGAUGAAAUCUCUAGCCAUCCCGCUCAGGAUGUGAAUCAUCCUUUUGCCCAGCCUAUCCAUGCUGUAUAUGCUACCUGCCCUUUAGUCAUCAACAUCUGCUCAACAUUGUCGUGGCUCAAUGAUCUGAGAUCACCUAAAGCAGAUGAUUCUCCUUCUGACUUAUCAUCAAUAGUGGCCUAAGGCUAUAUCACAAUGCUGUCAUUCACCUUACCUCAUCAGGAAGGCAGUUUAUCAUCUCACAUCAUCACAAGAAGGACUAUGCUCUUCGAGACCAGCAUGGGCAACAUGGUGAAAUCCUGCCUCUACAAAAAUUAACUGGGCGUGGUGGUGCGGGCAUGUAAUCCCAGCUACUCGGGAGGCUAAGGCAGAAAUGCUUGAACCCGGGAGGUGGAGGCUGUGGUGAGCCGACAUCCCGCAACUGUACUCCAGCCUGGAUGACAGAGCGAAAC